CAUUAAGAAGCUAUGCCACAGCACUAGCCUUUUAAGCUAGAGAAAGAGGACACACUCCACCUCCUUAAUGA
rnacentral:tRNA from 1 species